rnacentral:rRNA from 1 species
AUUGAACGCUGGCGGCAUGCCUUACACAUGCAAGUCGAACGGCAGCACGGGUGCUUGCACCUGGCGGCGAGUGGCGAACGGGUGAGUAAUAUAUCGGAACGUACCUUAUUGUGGGGGAUAACGCAGCGAAAGCUGUGCUAAUACCGCAUAAUCCCUAAGGGGGAAAGCGGGGGACCGUAAGGCCUCGCGCAAUUAGAGCGGCCGAUACCUGAUUAGCUAGUUGGUGAGGUAAAGGCUCACCAAGGCAACGAUCAGUAGCUGGUCUGAGAGGACGAUCAGCCACACUGGGACUGAGACACGACCCAGACUCCUACGGGAGGCAGCAGUGGGGAAUUUUGGACAAUGGGGGCAACCCUGAUCCAGCAAUGCCGCGUGAGUGAAGAAGGCCUUCGGGUUGUAAAGCUCUUUUGUCAGGGAAGAAACAGCAGCUCUAACACAGUAUGCGAAUGACGGUACCUGAAGAAUAAGCACCGGCUAACUACGUGCCAGCAGCCGCCGUAA